GGAUUCAUAGCUCAGUUGGUUAGAGCAAUCGGCUCAUAACCGAUUGGUCGCAGGUUCGAGUCCUGCUGAAUCCACCA
rnacentral:tRNA from 1 species